UGCUGGGUAAAAUGAAAGCCAGUUCCAUUAAAAUGUCCGGCUUACGACACAGCUUCGGGGAAUGGACCGCACUAGACGCCCCCGGAAGUGUUUGCAAUGGCGACUGCCCGCCUGGAAUCCAGGCCAAUCAGCAGCCACCUACCGUGCUGGCAGGCGAUUGGCUGUGGAGAGUCACGUGGCCCAACCGCGGCCAAUGAGACGGAGGGCGCCCUGAGACCUUUUCCCCUCCCUGAGACCUUUUCCCCGCCCUGAGACCUUUUCCCCGCCCCGAGGGUGCGGAGUGUGAGGCCUCUUCCUUCGCGCAGGGCGCAUGGUCUGCAGGCCUCGGCGGAGAGGCUGCUGCCAUCUCGCGCCCAGCGGGUGGACGGCGCCAGCUCGGAGGAGUCCGGGAGCAGGACGCGGGGCCAAGGCCCACAUCCCAAGGUGCCCACAGCUGCCAGGAAAGCCGUUGGAAUCCGAGGCAGCCGGCGCUCGAGGCAGGAACCACCCUAAUGGAUAACAGCUGUCACGUUUUCUGCGGCUCGGAACGGAACGGAACGGAGACGUCUGUUUCACAAUUUACCAGCGGAGUUCAUGAGCUUUGACAGCUCGAUCGUAUUUCCGGAAGUUAUAAAAAUGUUUCUCCUCGGGGAACGCGGGUGCCUGCCCGCGCCACCCCUGCUCGCUCCUCGGCGCCGCCCUCCAGCCUUGGGGAAGAAAGGGUUUGCUGCACAGACGGCGUCCCCAAGAUGUGCAAAUCAUAUUUAUGUGAAAGGAAUCCCGUUUCCUUAUCGACCCGCGUAGGAAUGCACAGACGCUCGGAUCGGCACACCUGGCUGAGCCGCGGCCCAGUCCAGCCACUGCAGGGCUCCCCGAGCUUCCAGCUAAGGGGUCACCGAGGCUGGGGGACCUGCCACGGCCGUCCUUGGGCCCAGCCCGGACUGAGGGGUCGCGGAGAUGUGUGCUGCAGCCCAUUGGACUUUGGAUUGGGUAGCGAGGAGGGACGGAGGCAUGGACUGUGGUUUUUGGAUGGAUGGGUGGAAUGAUGGGUGAAGCUUCCUGAGCCAAGUUAUCAGAUUCCGGGAGAAGUGGUCAGAACUGGCGCUGGUUCUAAGGGUAUCACAGCAUUUUUGCCUCGACUUCAAGGAAGGAGCGUCCCCCACCCCACCCCAUCCCGAGCUCUGGACACUCUCGGUCGUCUCAGGCUCCAGGAGCUGUUUCUGAAUUUUCAAAAACAAGAAGCCACAGAUUGCCAGGUGGUGACUGGAUACAUGGGCCUCAGUGAAGACACCUGUCACGUGCCACAGAUAGAUUCCUGCUGCAGUCAGAGUGAGCCUUUUUUUUCUUUUUGCCCAGGCUGGAGUGCAGUGGCAUGAUCACUGUAGCCUUGAUCUUCUGGGCUUAAGCAAUCCUCCUGUCUCAGCCUCCCAAGCAGCUGGGACUACAGGUGUGCAUCACCACAUCUGGCUAAUUUUUUGAUUUUUUAUGGAGAUGGGGUCUCACUUUGUUGCCCAGGCUGGCCUCCAACUCCUGGGCUCAAGCAAUCCUCCUGCCUUGGCCUCCCAAAGUGCUGGGAUUACAGAUAUGAGCCACUGUGCCCAGCCCAGAGUGAGCCUUUGAAUGGGUUUGGCAGGACAUCUUGCUGAGCAGCCGAGGCAGGCCCUCCACCAUGGUGAUAGCAGCCGGCCUUCCACGAGCACUUACUCUUUGCAGCCUGCUGCCUGCAUUCUCUCCCACAAAUGUUCAGUCACCUUAGCGGGCAGGUGCCAGGUCUGGGCUCUGAACAAGCUAGAUCCGCAUGACUUGCAUCUUCUGUUCUGCCAAAAUCCCUGUCCCCCAAACUCCCUAUGGCAGGAGGCUCCAUUUCUUGCCUGCCCUAUUCCUUCCACAUCUCUGAGACUUUUUCCCUCACUGUCUCAUGGGGCAAAGCCAUCCAGUGUUGGCCCGCUUGGAUCCCAGGUGGAGACCACUCUGACUGAGGCCUCUCUGUGCACUACUGUCUAAGGGAGGUUUUUCCCUCACUGCCUCAUGGGGCAAAGCCGUCCAGUGUUGGCCCGCCUGGAUCCCAGGUGGAGACCACUCUGACAGGCCUCUCUCUGUGCACUGCUGUCUAAGGGAGGUUUUUCCUCCAGCCUGACUUGCUGGUGUCCGGCAUCCUGACCUUGGGCCUGGUACGGAGCAGGGACCCAGGACACAUGGGAAGAACCAGUUUGGCCUUGAGACGUUCCAGAUGAAACUAGUGCCACCAGACUGCCGAGAGCCGGCCACCUUGAGGGCAGGGCUUGGAGUCCACUGUCUUGCCCGGGACCCUGUGCUCUCUGCAGCUGGCCACCUGAUCAGAUGCUCCCCUCCUUGCUAUGUGGCACAAGGUGUAAGGAGCCCCAGAAGCCCACAGGCUGACGUGCAUUGAAGGGAAGUUGAAGGGAAGUACAUUCACCCAAAUUAUGGCUGUGGAAAGAAAGUCGUUAGGUAAAGAAAAGCCCUUUUCCCUCCAAGAGGAGAAGGAAAGUUGCAGGGAUGGUUCCAGCCCAGCAUUGCGGAAAACCUCUUUCCACUCGUAUCAGGCUUGAAGCAUGCCAGACUCUGAGUGACACAGCCCCCGGGUGACUGCUCUGCUUUCUUCCCGCCUCUGUGUGAUUUAGAACAUCCCACUUAUUUAUAAUUUUUCUCUUGCAAGUGCUGCUGCUCACCUCUGCUGCCAGCUGGGGGCUGCAGGGAUGGAGCAGGAGAAGGCUGGAGUGGGCAUUGCAUCCUGUCUCCAACCACUGAUUGCUGGGUGGCCCUGUCUUAACAGUAUCCAGACAUCAGGCAUCCCCUGUAAGAUGAGGGUCUUGGGCAUACUUCUCUGUAAGCCUCUUUUUACUUAGGCAUCCAAAGACAAUUUACAACUCUGGGAACAGUGCUGAGCUCCCUCUUCCUGAUAGCCACUGGCUGCUUUUCCUUCUCAGGUGGGCUGGACAAUAAUUGAAAGAAUGUAACAUGUUUACUGCUACAAAAACAGACACACAGACCAAUGGAAUAGAAUAGAGACUGGAUUUCACACCUACAACUAUCUGAUCUUCAACAAACCUGGUGAAAAGCAAAGGACUCCCUAUUCAAUUAAUGUUUCUGGGAUGACUGGCUAGCCAUAUGCAGAAGAUUGAAACUGGACCCCUUCCUUCUAUCAUACACAAAAAUUAACUCAAGAUGGAUUGAAGUCCUAAAUGUAAAACUCAAAACUAUAAAAGUCCUGGUGGACAGCCCAGGCAGUACCAUUCAGGACCCAGGGAUGGGCAAAGAUUUCAUGAUGAAGAUGCCAAAAGCAAUUGCAACAAAAGCAAAAAUUGACACAUGGGAUCGAAUUAAAGAGCUUCUGCACAGCAAAGGAAACUCAGCAGAGUGAACAGACAACUACAGGAUGGGAGCAAAUUUAUGCAAACCAUGCAACAAAGGUCUAAUAUCCAGCAUCUAUACUUAAACAGAUUUACAAGAAACACAACCAACCAACCCCAUUAAAAGUGGGCAAACGACAUGAACAGACACUUUUCAAAAGACGAAUGCAUGCAACCAACAGUCAUAUGAAAAAAAGCUCAACAGCACUGAUCUUUAGAGAAAUGCAAACCAAAGCCACAAUGAGAUGCUAUCUUACACCAGUCAGAGUGACCAUUCUUGUUUUUUUUCUUUUGAGACACAGUCACUCUGUUGUCCAGGUUGGAGUGCAGUGGCAUAAUCUCAGCUCACUGCAACCUGUGCCUCCUGGGUUCCAUCAGGUCUCCUGCCUCAGCCUCCCGAGUAGCUGGGACUACAGGUGCACUGCCACACCCUGCUAAUUUUUGUAUUUUUAGUAGAGAUGGGGUUUCACUAUGUUGACCAGGCUGGUCUUGAUCUCCUGACCUCGUGAUCCACCUGCCUAAGCCUCCCAAAGUGCUGGGAUUAUAGGCAUGAGCCACUGUGCCUGGCAACCAUUCUUAAAAAGUAAAAAAAUAACAGAUGCUGGUGAGGUUACAGAGAAAAUGGAAGUGUUGCUGGGAGGGUAAAUUAGUUUGACCGUUGUGGAAGAAAGUGAGGCAAUUCCUCAAAGACCUGAAAACAAAUACCAUUCCAUCAAGCGGUCCUGCUACUGGGUCCGUACCCUAAGAAGUAGAAAUUGUUCUGUAAUAAAGACACAUGCACACAUAUGUUCAUAGCAGCACUACUCACCAUAGCAAAGACAUGGACUCAACCUAAAUGCCCAUCAGUGAUAGACUGGAUAAAGAAAACGGGCUACUUAGACACCAUGGAAUACUAUGCAGCCAUAGAAAAAGAAUGAGAUCAUGUUCUUUGCAGGGACAUGCAAAGAACUUGGAGCUGGAGGCCAUUACCCUUAGCAAGCUAACACAGGAACAGAAAACCAAAUGCUGCAUGUUCUCAUUUAUAAGUGGGAGCUAAAUGCUGAGAACACAUGGACACAUAGAGGAGAACAACACACGCCGGGUACUCUCAGAGGGUGGAGGGUGGGAGGAGGGAGAGGAUCGGGAAAAAUCACUAUUGGAUACUAGCUUAACAUCUGGGUAAAGUAAUCUGUACAACAAACCUCCGUGACACAAGUUUAUCUAUGUAACAAACCUGCACAUGUACCCCUGGACCUAAAAGUUGAAGAAAAAGACUGCAAGGUGAUUAAAAGAAGACUCCUUCUGUAAACAGGUUAUUUUCUAAGAUGUGUCCUGGCAAUUGCAAACACCUCUGACAUCUGGAAGCUUCUAGAACUGGGCCAUGUUGUUCAAACUGAGACUCCUGGAGAGGACCUGGGAGUCAUCUGGAGUGGAGGAAGAGGGGGUGUGCAUGGGUUGUGACCCCAGCAGCACAGUGGCAGUGAUCGCUGCCUGUCCAGCACUAUGUGCCAGGCACAGAGGAUAUCAGUGCCACUAUUGUCCCCUGUUUUACAAAUAUGGACCCAGGCACAGCAGAACAAGUCUCCUUGCUCACACAGUUCAUAAGUGGUAGCACAAAAUUCGACCUUGGCAACCUGGCCCCAGAACCUGAGUGCAGUGGUGACUGUACCCUUUCCUUAGGAGGGAGAAAGACUUCGGCUUCCUGAAGUCUUCGACAUAGCCCUGAGCUUCAGUCCCACCUCUGCAGCUCCCUGGAAUGGGAGCCCUAUGGACACCCUGUUGAAGGCAUCCUGCCUCCCAGGGCUCCGUAGGCAUUUGCUGGGGGACAUCCAGGGGCCUCAGUCAGAGCCAGCUGAGGGGAUUGCCCAUGAGGCUCUGCUGGGGAUCACAGCAGAGGGGACAGGGGCUCCAGGAACAUCAGCCUCUCCAGGGAUCCCAGCUGGCCUAGGAAGAGGGAAAGGGCUUUCAGCCUCAGGGCGGGGCCUGGGCAGCUCUUCUGGCUCCAGGCUGUCUAUUCACCCCUUGCACAGAUGUGAACACUGAAUCUAGUAGGGAAGGAGCUCAGCACACUGACGGUGGCUGCAAAACUGAGAGCACGUGCUUCACCCACACCCAGCCUAGGCCUCUCCUGAUCAGUCAUGGUGACAUCUAGAAACAUCAAGACUGGCUGCCAUGUAUGCCCUGGGACCAUUUUGCAGGCAGCAGCUCAUUCAGUCCUUACACACCCAGUGAGGUGGGUAGGACCAACCCCCAUUCACAGGGGAGGACAACUGAGGCCUGGUGAGACAGUAGCUGCUUGUCCCUGCCCUUUCUACUUGGAGCUUGUGCAGUUGUGUCAGGGGCUUCCCAGGCUCACAGCUCAGUGGCUCUCCACCAGGGUCAGAGGAGUGGCUUGAAGCCCUCCUUGGACAUGUCUGUGGGUGAUACUGAGUGCAAGGUACCCCAGGUGUCACGGCGGGGAGGUGUCUGGUCUAGGGUCAAAGGUGAUUAUCAAGCCAAUUUCAAAGCCCUCAGGCCCUAUCUGGGGGCUCCCAGGGGUUGUGGGGUUCACCUUUUAUUUCCUUUUCCUUUGAUUCAUCCGAGGGUGGGUGCUGCAAGCUUGUAGAAGCAAGGCUCACUGGCAGUGGGUUGGUGAGGGCGGCACAUAUUCUGAAAAGGAAGUGCCAGCCCUCAGGACUUCAGGUGCAGCCCAGGCAAAUGUGUGAAAUCACUUGGACUCAGCAGGACAGUGUCCAGGGUGCUAGGCAGGGUAGUAAAUGCAGUCAGGCCUGCCCUUGGGAGCUCAGCUGCCUGGGGUGGAAUCCCAGCUCUGUCUCUUGCCAGCUGGGUCAUGUAGUGGCCUUUGACUUAGUUUCCCCAUAUGUAAAAUGGGAGUUAUAAUCAGGCCUUCUUUAGAGUGUUGCUGUGCAGAUUCACCUGGGGCGGGGGGGCAGCUGCAGAAAGCACCAUGUGCCAGCUUUUCCUGGGGUGAGCUCCUCUGCGCCUGACUGCCCUGACCUUGGCCAUGUGCACUACUCCGAGCCAGAAGGGCCUCUCAGAGAACCCUGACAGCGCGCCAGCACUGGGGCACCUCCUUUUUGGGAGGGCAGGGCGUUGGGAUUGGGCUCUGUCUUUUAUGCUAAAUGAUGAUAUGUUUCAAACAUACAGAAAAGUGUAACCCGUCCAUGCCCACUACUCAGUUUCAAUGCAGAGCGACGUUUGCUUUUGUUUUUUAAACAGGAAAUAAACAUUUGAUAUGGCCGGAACGCCCUCCCUUGCCGUCACCCCGUUCUCCUUCAGAACUCAUUCCCCUCUCGCUCCCCGCAUGAGACACUCUUUUGAGGUUGAUUGCCACCUUUCCUAUAGAUGUUUUCUUAAAAAAUUUAUUUAUUACACUUUAAGUUCUGGGGAGCGUGUGCAGACUGCUGGCUUGUUACACAGGUAUACACGUGCCGUGGUGGUGGUUUGCUGCCUCCAUUGCUUGUCAUUGCUGUCGAUGUUUUUAUGUAUUUACUGUGGAUAUCCAUAAACACAUCUGAUUAUUUAUGUGCUUUUUCUCUCACAUCAGUUUGCACAUAUCCUCUUGCUUUUUCCACUCCACAUAAUACUCUUUUAUUGAGGUAACAUUCACACAACAUAGAAUUAACCAUUCUAAAGCAUAUGCUUGAGAGGCAUCCAGUGCAUUCACAACGCUGUGUGACCACGGCCUCUAUCUAGUUCUGAAAGAUUUCUGGCACCCCCAAAGGAGACGUCCUGCAAUUAAGCAGCACACUGGCCCCCCGACCACCUAUCCCCUUCAGACAACCACCUAUCUGCUUUCUGUCUCUGUGGAUUUCUCUCUGCUGGAAAUUUCAUAUCAAUGGAGUCAUACAAUAGCCACGUGAUACCUUCGAGCCUCACCCAGGUUGGGAUGUGUUGAUCCAGCUCCUUCAUCCUAGCUACUGUGAGAAGUCCACUGCUCUGUAGAUCAUAGGUGAACACCUAUGCCCACCCCCCUUGCAGGUCAUUCCAGGGCCUUGCCAGUGGGGGGGCUUCUCCUUGUGCUUCUGGGGAAGGUCCCUGGUCCAGAUUCUUUGCUUUCAAACUGCCCAGAACUCAGUGGCUUAAAGCAACGUGUUAUUAUUUCUCCUGCUUUUGUGGCUUAACUGGGCUCAGUGGACUGUUCUGCUGGUGUCACUCACAGUCAGAUGGUGGCUAGAGUGGGAUGCUCAGGAUGACACUGGGAUGGCUGGGCCUCUCACCCUCUCCCCGUGGCCAUUCCAGCAGAGUAGCUGGCCCAUUCAUGGGGGCUCUGGGCCCCAGAAGUAUAAAAGCAGAAACUGCCAGGCCUCCUUGUGGCCUGGACCCAGACACCCGGGCUGUGCCUUCCUCUGGUUAAAGCAAAUCACAAGCUCACCCAGCACCAAUGUGGGAGGGGCCCACCCACGCGUGGCUACUGGGGGCCAUCCCUGAGGACCAGCCCUCACACUGGGAUACGGGGCUCAGAGGAGCUUCGCCAAGUCCUGGGUGUGGACGCUUCCAGUGUCCUGGCAUGCUGUUAGGCUGUUCUCUCAGGCGAGUCUCCCAAGUGAGGCUGUCCUGCACCCCAGCUUCUCCAUGUCUUGGACUCUUCAGUUUCCGCUGUUGGGUGUGGAAUGUUUGCCAUUGUCAUUUUUGUUUCUCUGUGAUUCUUAGUGAAGGUGUAUGAGUUUCCUGUUGCUGCUGAGACAAAUCAGUACAACGUAGUGGCUUAAAGCAGCAUGGGUGCUGUCAGUUCUGGAGGCCAGAGGUCUGACAUGGGUCUCAUGGGGCUAAGUCAAGGUGUCAGCAGGGCUGCACCCUCCUGAAGACUUUAGGAAAGAAUCUGUUUCUUCUCCGCUCCCAGCUUCUCGAACGCCUUCUUUCCUUGGCUCAUGCCUCCUUCCUCCGUCUUCAAAGCCAGCAGUGCAGUGUUUUAAAAUCUCUGUCCUCUGCCAUUGAGACUUCUGUGGUGACCCUCAGCCCACCCAGGUCAUCAGGGAUCCUUGCCGCAUCUCAAAGUCCACUUCAUCACAUUGGCGAAGUCCCUUUUGCGAUAUGCAGUAACACAUGAAUAGCUUCUGGGGAAGAGGACGGGACAUCUUUGCUGAGUGUGGAAGGCAGGUGGCCCCCUUUUGCGAUACGAGGUAACGCAUUAAUAGGUUCUGCGGAAGAGGACAGGACAUCUUUGCUGAGUGUGGAAGGCAGGUGGCCCCCUUUUGCGAUACGAGGUAACGCAUUAAUAGGUUCUGCGGAAGAGGACAGGACAUCUUUGCUGAGUGCGGAAGGCAGGUGGCCCCCUUUUGCCAUACGUGGGGGCAUUAAUAGGUUCUGGGGAAGAGGACGGGACAGCUUUGCUGAGUGUGGAAGGCAGGUGGCCCCCUUUUGCCAUACACGGUAACACAUUAAUAGGUUCUGGGGAAGAGGAUGGGACAUCUUUGCUGAGUGUGGAAGGAAGGUGGCCCCCUUUUGCCAUAUGCGGUAACACAUUAAUAGCUUCUGGGGAAGAGGACGGGACAUCUUUGCUGAUUGUGGAAGGCAGGUGGCCCCCUUUUGCCAUACGCGGUAACACAUUAAUAGCUUCUGGGGAAGAGGACGGGACAUCUUUGCUGAUUGUGGAAGGCAGGUGGCCCCCUUUUGCCAUACGCAGUAACACAUUAAUAGCUUCUGGGGAAGAGGACGGGACAUCUUUGCUGAUUGCGGAAGGCAGGUGGCCCCCUUUUGCCAUACGCAGUAACACAUUAAUAGGUUCUGGGGAAGAGGAUGGGACAUCUUUGCUGAGUGUGGAAGGCAGGUGGCCCCCUUUUGCCAUAUGCGGUAGCACAUUAAUAGCUUCUGGGGAAGAGGAUGGGACAUCUUUGCUGAGUGUGGAAGGAAGGCGGCCCCCUUUUGCGAUAUGCGGUAACACAUUAAUAGCUUCUGGGGAAGAGGACAGGACAUCUUUGCUGAGUGCGGAAGGCAGGUGGCCCCCUUUUGUCAUACGCGGGGGCAUUAAUAGGUUCUGGGGAAGAGGACGGGACAUCUUUACUGAGUGCAGAAGGCAGGUGGCCCGUUUGCGGGUCACUCCGUUUUCCACCUUGGGUAAUUUCGCUCUGUCUGUCUUUCUACUGUGUGGAAGGCAUUCCCUGUGUGCGGACAUCCCUGGUAUCCCGGGGGAUUGACUCCGGGCCUCCCACAGAUACUGACAUCCACAGAUGUUCAAGUCCCUGGUCUAAAGGGGCAUGAUAUCUGCUAUGACCUCUGCACAUCCCUCCUAGGCUUUUAACCCUCUCUAGAUUGUAAUAGACAACACAGUGUAAAUGCUGUGUGAGUAGUCGUUAAAUAUUAGGCAAUGGCAUCUCACUCUGUUCCCCAGGCUGGAGUGCAGUGGGGUGAUCCUGGCUCACUGCAACCUCCGCCUCCUUGGCUCAAGCAUUCUCCUGCCUCAGCCUCCCAAGUAGCUGGGACUACAGGCGCCUGCCACCACGCCUGGCUAAUUUUUGUAUUUUUAGUAGAUACGGGGUUUCACCACGUUGGCCAGGCUGGUCUUGAACUCCCGACCUUAGGUGUUCUGCCUGCCUCAGCCUCCCAAAGUGCUGGGAUUACAGGUGUGAGCCACUGCACCCGGCCUAUUAUUAUUAUUUAUUAAAAAUGUAUUUUUGAUUCUCAGCCGACUGACCCUGAGGAUGCAGAACUAUCUGGAUACAAGGGGCCAGCUGCAUAUCCUUCCGUGGCUUAUGUGUGCCGGGAAUAUGCUUCCAGUGGUGGCCUUAUCCUUUUCUAACAAACAGGGAAACCACCGGCACCCUCAGAUAGAGUAUUUGAGGAGAGUUCAACAAGGGACUAAUGGCAAAGGUUCAGAGAAACCAACAGGGCUGCUGCAGAUCCCCGGCAGGCACCUGGCCACAGCGCUGCCAUCCCCAGGUCUGGAGGGAGACCGAGCGGCGUGCAGAAAGCUCUCCAGCUGGUCUUAGGCACGCCCACAUGAUGCUGUCGGAGGCACCUGGGACUAAGAUUCCUCACCUUGCCCUUCUCAGCCUCGCAGCCUCCUGCCUGGGCUCCUGCUGGCCAUGUCCCAAGCCCUCCCACGGGGCCCAUGGAAGAGAGCUGCGGCUGGAGAGUCCAUACGGCCACCUGCCUCCCAGGCUAGAGAGCAGGCUGCAGAGGUGACCACGGGCCUGCAGGGACAGGGUAAAUACCAGUGCCUGUCCCAGCUUUGUGAUAGCAUCUUCUGUUGCAGAGAAAAUGUCAAUUAGGUCAUAUAGCAAUAUUUCCUUUGGGAGUGCUUUUUUUCUGUUUUAAAUAGGAAAAUUUUCCCUAUCCUAAAAUUGUGUAAGACCAUGAAUAUAUUAUUUUUAAAAAUUGUAUAUGCACAUACAAUUUUUUAU